ensembl:lncRNA
AGAGAGAUCAGAGACAGAGAGCAGAGAGAUCAGAGACAGAGAGCAGAGAGAUCAGAGACAGAGAGCAGAGAGAUCAGAGACAGAGCAGAGAUAUCAGAGACAGAGAGCAGAGAGAUCAGACGGAGAGAGAGCAGAGAGAGCAGAGGGAGAGAGAAAGGUUAAGGUUAGGACACAUGGGUUAGGGUGGGACACAUGGGUUAGGACACAUGGGUUAGGACACAUGGGUUAGGGAACAUGGGUUAGGGUUAGGAAACAUGGGUUAGGGAACAUGGGUUAGGGCACAAGGGUUAGGGCACAUGGGUUAGGGUUAGGUAACAUGGGUUAGGGUACAUGGGUUAGGGAACAUGGGUAGGGUUAGGGAACAUGGGGUAGGGUUAGGGCACAUGGCUUAGGAGACAUGGUUUAGGGCACAUAGGUUAGGGUUAGGGAACAUGGGUUAGGGAACAUGGGGUAGGGUUAGGGAACAUGGGUUAGGGAACAUGGGUUAGGGUACAUCGGUUAGGGAACAUGGGUUAGGGAACAUGGGUAGGGUUAGUGAACAUGGGUUAGGGAACAUGGGUUAGGGACCAUGGGUUAGCGUACAUGGGGUAGGGAACAUGGGGUAGGGAACAUGGGUUAGGGAACAUGGGGUAGGGAACAUGGGUUAGGGAACAUGGGGUAGAGAACAUGGGUCAGGGAACAUGGGGUAGGGAACAUGGGUCAGGGAACAUGGGGAAGGGUUAGGGAACAUGGGGUAGGGAACAUGGGUUAGGGAGCAUGGGGUAGGGUACAUGGGGUAGGGAACAUGGGGUAGGGAACAUGGGUUAGGGAGCAUGGGUCAGGGAACAUGGGUUAGGGUUAGGGAACAUGGGGUAGGGAACAUGGGGUAGGGAACAUGGGGUAGGGAACAUGGGUUAGGGAGCAUGGGUUAGGGAGCAUGGGUUAGGGAACAUGGGGUAGGGAACAUGGGGUAGGGAUCAUGGGGUAGGGAACAUGGGGUAGGGAACAUGGGGUAGGGAAUGUGGGUUAGGGGACAUGGGUUAGGGAACAUGGGGUAGGGUUAGGGCAAAUGGGUUAGGGAACAUGGGGUAGGGAACAUGGGGUAGGGAACAUGGGGAAGGGAACAUGGGGUAGGGAGCAUGGGGUAGGGUACAUGGGGUAGGGAACAUGGGUUAGGGAACAUGGGGUAGGGUACAUGGGUUAGGGUUAGGGAACAUGGGUUAGGGAACAUGGGGUAGGGAACAUGGGUUAGGGUUAGGGAACAUGGGUUAGGGUUAGGGAACAUGGGUUAGGGAACAUGGGGUAGGGGACAUGGGUUAGGGAACAUGGGGUAGGGAACAUGGGGUAGGGAACAUGGGGUAGGGUACAUGGGUUAGGG